AGCAGUAUGGUGUAGUGCGCACACGGGGUCUCCUUGAAGCUCAAUAAGAUGUGCCCCCCCGAGGUCCUUGUUCGAGUCAAGGUGCUGCUG